UCAGCAGUCCAGAAUAUUAGUCAAUGCUCGCAAGAGUGAACUAGCUAACUGAAAUCACAAAAACACAAAAAGUGCUUAUUGUGAUAAUGUAAGGGAAAAAAUUGAUAUCACCUUACUAUAAGUGUUGUCUAAAUAACUGGUGCCAGAAGACUCGGUAACACCAGAAACGCGAACGUUAGUCGUCUUAAACAGGCGUAAAGGGUAAGUAGGCUGCUUUAAACAUCUAUUUUUAAAAAAAAGCUAAUUAAUAAAUUACCCUAAAAUUUUUCAGACCUGAAAUUAUAAUUUAAGGCUAACUAAUAAUGAAAAAGGUAAUUAUUAAAAAAAGAUAGAUACUCUUAAAGCUAGAAUCAUAAUUGAGAUAAACCAAAUAAUACUUAUGUGUAAGGGCGAUAUCUGAAAAUACUAAGUAGAAUACUAACGGUGAAAACUUUUUAUCUAGGAAUGAUUGACGCUGAGGUACGAAAGUGAGAACAGGGAAUAGGAUUAGAUACCCAGUUACCUCUCACCGUCAACGAUGAAUGGUAGUUGUUAGUUUAAUUAAAUUAGUGACGAUGUUAACGCGAUAACCAUUCCGCCUUGAGAGUACGGUUGCAAAACUGAAACCAAAAAAAUUAGUCGGUCUCGGAGCAAACGGAGUGAAGCAU
rnacentral:rRNA from 1 species